rnacentral:rRNA from 1 species
UGGGGAAUCUUGCACANAUGGGGCGAAAGCCUGAUGCAGCGACGCCGCGUGCGGGACGAAGGCCUUCGGGUUGUAAACCGCUUUCAGCAGGGACGAGGCGUAAGUGACGGUACCUGCAGAAGAAGCCCCGGCUAACUACGUGCCAGCAGCCGCGGUAAUACGUAGGGGGCAAGCGUUAUCCGGAUUCAUUGGGCGUAAAGCGCUCGUAGGCGGUCUGUUAGGUCGGGAGUUAAAUCCGGAGGCUCAACCUCCGUCCGCUCCCGAUACCGGCAGACUUGAGUUUGGUAGGGGAAGGUGGAAUUCCUAGUGUAGCGGUGGAAUGCGCAGAUAUUAGGAAGAACACCAGUGGCGAAGGCGGCCUUCUGGGCCAUANCUGACGCUGAGGAGCGAAAGCUAGGGGAGCAAACAGGAUUAGAUACCCUGGUAGUCCUAGCUGUAAACGAUGGACACUAGGUGUGGGGGAGCCUUUCCUCCGUGCCGCAGCUAACGCAUUAAGUGUCCCGCCUGGGGAGUACGGCCGCAAGGCUA